UACGUAGGUGGCAAGCGUUGUCCGGAUUUACUGGGCGUAAAGAGCGCGCAGGCGGUCAGAUAAGUCGAAUGUGAAAGCCCCCGGCUCAACUGGGGAGGGUCAUUCGAUACUGUUCGACUCGAAGGCAGGAGAGGGAAGUGGAAUUCCCGGUGUAGUGGUGAAAUGCGUAGAUAUCGGGAGGAACACCAGUGGCGAAGGCGACUUCCUGGCCUGUUCUUGACGCUGAGGCGCGAAAGCUAGGGGAGCGAACAGG
rnacentral:rRNA from 1 species